AGUGAACGCUGGCGGUAGGCCUAACACAUGCAAGUCGAACGGCAGCACAGUAAGAGCUUGCUCUUACGGGUGGCGAGUGGCGGACGGGUGAGGAAUACAUCGGAAUCUACUUUUUCGUGGGGGAUAACGUAGGGAAACUUACGCUAAUACCGCAUACGACCUACGGGUGAAAGCAGGGGAUCUUCGGACCUUGCGCGAUUGAAUGAGCCGAUGUCGGAUUAGCUAGUUGGCGGGGUAAAGGCCCACCAAGGCGACGAUCCGUAGCUGGUCUGAGAGGAUGAUCAGCCACACUGGAACUGAGACACGGUCCAGACUCCUACGGGAGGCGGCAGUGGGGAAUAUUGGACAAUGGGCGCAAGCCUGAUCCAGCCAUACCGCGUGGGUGAAGAAGGCCUUCGGGUUGUAAAGCCCUUUUGUUGGGAAAGAAAAGCAGCAGGUUAAUACCCCGCUGUUCUGACGGUACCCAAAGAAUAAGCACCGGCUAACUUCAUG
rnacentral:rRNA from 1 species